CAGAGUUCGUGCCCUCACGGGUAGAUCUCCCACCCUGUGUUAUUAUACCUUUGUUGCUUUGGCGGGCCGCCCUCGGCUACCGGCCCCGGCUGGUACGCGCCCGCCAGAGGACCCAAACUCUUUUAUCAGUGAUGUCUGAGUACUAUAUAAUAGUUA
rnacentral:misc_RNA from 1 species